rnacentral:lncRNA from 1 species
CCGGAUUCAGGAAGGAUGGAGUGGGUUCUACGAUGCUAACGGGCCUCGAUGGUGUUGCACACUUAUGGCCUGGCAGAGAAGAGAAAGCUCCAGCCUCCUUUCAGGAACCUGGUUCAUGUGACCAUGGGCUGCUACAGGUGGCGCCAGAACGUGGCACCUGAAAAAGGAAGGACCGACUGAGAGAACACUGUCUAGGUAGAGCUCUACGAGAAGAUUAAGAAGAUGU